rnacentral:lncRNA from 1 species
GUGCCCGACACCAGCCGUGUACCUACACUGCAGUGCCUGACACCAGCUGUGUAACUGCACUGCUGCCCACAGCAGCACCAGCCAUGUACCCACAUUGCUGUGCCCAGCAACGUAAGCUGUGUACCCGCACUGCUGCCCACACCAGCCGUGUACCCCCACUGCUGUCCACACCCACACCAGCCAUGUACCUGCAUUGCUGUGCCCGACACCAGCCGUGUACCUGCACUGCAGUGCCUGACACCAGCUGUGUAACUGCACUGCUGCCCACACCAACACCAGCCGUGUACCCACACUGCUGUGUCCACCAACGUAAGCCGUGUACCCGCACUGCUGCCCACACCCACACCAGCCGUGUAC